CAAUUGCUUAUAACCUUUUGGUUAUAAAUAAUUGUUAGUGGCAGACGGGUGAGUAAUGCGUAGGAAUCUACCUAGUAGUAUGGAAUAGCCAUUAGAAAUGAUGGGUAAUACUGUAUAAUCCCUGCGGGGGAAAGAUUUAUCGCUAUUAGAUGAGCCUACGUUAGAUUAGCUAGUUGGUAAGGUAAUGGCUUACCAAGGCUAUGAUCUAUAGCUGGUCUGAGAGGACGAUCAGCCACACUGGAACUGAGAUACGGUCCAGACUCCUACGGGAGGCAGCAGUGGGGAAUAUUGGACAAUGGGCGAAAGCCUGAUCCAGCUAUGCCGCGUGAGUGAAGAAGGCCUUCGGGUUGUAAAACUCUUUCAAUAGGGAAGAUAAUGACGGUACCUAUAGAAGAAGUCCCGGCAAA
rnacentral:rRNA from 1 species